rnacentral:rRNA from 1 species
GACGAACGCUGGCGGCGUGCUUAACACAUGCAAGUCGAACGGUGAAGCACCUUCCUUUUGGUGGGUGUGGAUGAGUGGCGAACGGGUGAGUAACACGUGAGUAACCUGCCCCCUUCUUCUGGAUAACCGCAUGAAAGUGUGGCUAACACGGGAUAUUCUGGGUCUGUCGCAUGGCGGGCCUGGGAAAGAUAUUGUUUCGGUGGGGGAUGGGCUCGCGGUCUAUCAGCUUGUUGGUGGGGUGAUGGCCUACCAAGGCGGUGACGGGUAGCCGGCCUGAGAGGGUGGACGGUCACACUGGGACUGAGACACGGCCCAGACUCCUACGGGAGGCAGCAGUGGGGAAUAUUGCACAAUGGGCGCAAGCCUGAUGCAGCGACGCCGCGUGAGGGAUGGAGGCCUUCGGGUUGUAAACCUCUUUCGCCAGUGAAGCAGGCCUGUCCCUUUUGUGGGUGGGUUGACGGUAGCUGGAUAAGAAGCGCCGGCUAACUACGUG